GCCGCCGGAGCCUCGGCGAGGUGCGCGCGCGCACGGGCCCGGGCUCUCCCGGAUGGCGGUGGGACGAAGUGUGCGCGCCGCUCCCUCCUUCCAGCGCUCUCCGCUCCUGCUGGUCCCUCCAUCCUCGCCCCGCCUCAGGCCAGCCCGGAGCGCCGCCGACCCGCGAGCCCUGCAGCGGGGGCCAGUUGCCAACAACAGAAACCCGGAAUAGUGCCGAAGGAACUUGACCGGUCUUAACUCUAAGAAGGAAUCCAGCAAGGCGUUCCAGGACGGUCUUCCAGGGAAUCCGAAUUGAGUUUAUAGAUCAUGAACGGUUAAGCUUUUGACCUCUGAGGAAGGACGGAACGUGCCUGGAAAUUAGAUUGGAGCCCUACCUGAGAAGGUGUGCCCGUUAGUUGUGUAUCUGCCUCCCGCCUGGAGCACUUUCACAGGUGCUGACAAGCGGGUACCAGUAUUGCAUGGAAAAAGAAUGAAGAACCGCUCAGAACUGUGUGUAAACAUCUGUGGGAAUUUUUUUAAGGCUUCAGAAAGCUACAAAGAGAUGAGAUCAGGAAAUUUUUCCAGUACCACCCCGUGUAACCUGGUACUGGGCACAGAAAUCUGCAUGUUUCCUAAGCUCUCACGUGAUACUUAAGUAUGCUUGAGAACCUUUGUCGUAGGGCUUCCCUGGUUAACUACUUCUCACUUUUCUCAAAAACUAGCUAGCUAAGUGACAACCUGUUACGUGGAGGAGCAAGAAGUUACUUUUUCUUGCAAUAAAUCGCACUUAAGUAGGCUUGGCCUUGAGAGGGGUUGGGGCUAUACUGAGGGCACAGGUAAGAGCCAGGGUCCCCACAAAGGUGGAAGAACCAGGAGGUUCUAGAAUUAUGACACUGGUUAACAGUGACUUGAGCCCUUUGGAUGAAAUAACCCUCUUUACCUCAAAGGUGUCGUCCACCCACCCAAAACACGCAGCAUAGUACUACCACCAAUCUGGUGGGCUUCAAAGGUAAAGUCUGCCCUUAGCCGAAGAUUCCCUACUAACAGGAAGGCACUGACAAGCUUUACCUAAGCCUACUGGUGCUAUAUUGUAAUUCUUUCUGUACAUAAAUAAAACAGUUCCUGCAGACUCCUGGAUAAAUCAAAGGAAAGUUCUAUCUUAAGCUGAUAUGACACAACUCAGAAAAGGACUAGAAAUUAGAUCCAAUUGAUGACUGAGUUGAUCCCUAAGCAGGAUUUACCUUUGAAAUAAAACUCAACAGAGAAGGGGAAGUUCAGAUAACUCACUGGUAAUUUGGGGCAGGGGGGCUAGUUGAAUUCUCAUUUCAUAUGUCAAAAGCAAGUUCAAGGAGGAUUUAUGAGUUAAAUGUAUUUUUUAAAGCAAACCAGAAAAUACUAUUUGUUAAACCUCUGGGUAGAAGUAUUCCUCAACUUAGAAGCAAUAGAAGGAAAUGAUCAAUGGAUAUGACUGGGUAAUACCUAAAACUUCUAUGUGUCAAACAUUGUUUUAGACAGAAACCUAAACCAAAAAAAGAAAAAAAGUGACAGCAAAUAUUAAAAAAAAAAGUAUGAAUAUCUAUAAGUAGGGGUCAUACAGCUAAAGUAAAAUAUAGAAUCUCAGUUAUUGAGUAUAAACAGAAAACAAAUAAAUCACAUACAAAGACAUCAAAUAGUAAUAAAUAUAUGGUGAAAAUUAACCUUAUAGUAAUUAAAGAAAUACAUGUUAAAACAAACCAGUGAUAAAGAUAUAGAGAUAAUAAGCAAUGGUUUGCUCAUACAUUGAGGGUGUCAUUAUAAAAUGAUACUGUCCAUUUGGAAAGCAUUUUGACUCUAUGUUGUAGGUCAGGGUGCUCCUACAUUUUGAUUCAGAGGUCCCACUUCUGGGAAUCUAGCCAGAGACAUACUCCAAAAAAUGGGGAAAGUUAUAUGCUGCAAGUUGUAUAUCACAGCAUUAUUUAUAUUGAAGACUAGGCCACAACUUAAAGAUGCUAGAGGUAGGGGCUAUACCCAACUCCCUAUAGCCACCUGGACCACGAUGCUACUUCAUGUUUCUCUGCUUUACACAUAUCAUUCCUGGUCUCUACCUGAAAGACUGUCCUUGCCCUGUGUCUGUGAGCUGAGCUCUCUUCUCUCACUUAUCCUCAACACUUUUGAUCAGCAUUUUCCAGGCUCCCUCUUUCAUCCCCACAAGGCCUCCUACACUCUCCCAUUUUGGCCCUUGGAGACUACCUGUAAUUACUCGUUUCCCUCCCUGUCUCUUCCACUCUGCUACGUCUCCUUCAAGGGUGUGCUCCAUUUCCUUUUCAUCUUAGAAUUACUAGCAUCCUGCCAAUGUUUCAGGUGCUGGAUAAAUAUUUAUUUAAAAAUGGAUGAAUCAGGGACUUCCCUGGUGGUCCAGUGGUUAAGACUGUGGGCUCCCAAUGCAGGAGGCAUGGGUUUGACCCCCGGUCGGGGAACUAGGAUCCAGCAUGCCGCAUGGCACAGCCAAAAAAAAAGAAAAGGAUAAAUCAUUUACUCAAAACUUUUACAGACAUUAAGGAUGAUGAUUCUAAUCGCUUAUAUGUGGAAUCUAGAAAAAUGGUACAGAUGAACUUAUUUGCAAAGCAGAAAUAGAGACACAGAUGUAGAGACCAAAGUUAAGGAUACCAAGGGGGGAAGGGGGAGUGGGAUGAAUUGGGAGAUUGGGAUUGACAUAUAUACACUAAUAUGUGUAAAAUAGAUAACUAAUGAGAGCUACUAUAUAGCACAGGAAACUCUACUCAGUGCUCUGUGGUGACCUAAAUCAGAAGGAAAUCCAAAAACUGAGGGGAUAUAUAUAUACAUAUAACUGAUUCACUUUGCUGUGCAGUAGAAACUAACACAUCGUAAAGCAGCUAUAUGCCAAUAAAAAUUAAUUUUAAAAAAGGAGGAUGAUUUAAAGAGUAUGUGGCAAUGUGUGAAUACAUUAUAAUGUUCAAUUUUAAUUUUGUGGAAAUAUCUCAAAGUAAUAUAAAAGUUAGAUGAAAAAAGCAAGGUGCAAAAUAGUAUACAGAGUAGGCUACCAUUUUGUAAAAAAUAAUAAUAAUAAAGCAUGUUGGCAAAGGAGAGUGGAAAAUUUAUAUAUGCACAUAUUUCCUUGUUAAUGGGUAGGCUAUGUAUAGAAGAAAAUAAACUGGUAGUAGUGGUUUGGGGGGCAGGGGGCAGACUAGAGACCUAAAGAUAUGAUGGGAGGGAGGCCUGCUUUAUUUUUCAAUAUAUAAAAAAUAUAUAUGUAUUUUGUUUGUUUUCAAAAUUUGUACCAUGUAUAUGAUAUACCUGUUUUGAAAACAAAUCAAUCUACAAAAUUGUAUGCAAUUAUCUGAAAAAAGUUAAGCGUGAAUUCUUGACAAAUAAUGGUUGUUCAACUGUGGGAUUGUGGGUGAUUUUGUUUUCACGUUUCUGGUUUCUUUUUUAUUUAAUGUGGUUAUACUACUUUUACAAUGACAAAGAUAAAAUUAUAAAUAAAGACAUAAGCAAAUAA